rnacentral:rRNA from 1 species
AUUGAACGCUGGCGGCAGGCCUAACACAUGCAAGUCGAGCGAGAGGCGGGCGGGUGAGUAAUGUCUGGGAAACUGCCUGCUGGAGGGGGAUCACUACUGGAAACGGUAUCUAAUACCGCAUACCAUCAGAUGUGCCCAGAUGGGAUGAGCUGGUAGGUGGGGUAAUGGCUCACCUAGGCGACGAUCCCUAGCUGGUCUGAGAGGAUGACCAGCCAGACUGGAACUGAGACACGGUCCAGACGCCUACGGUAGGCAGCAGGGGGGAAUAUUGCACAAUGGGCGAAAGCCUUAUGCAGCCAUGCCGCGUGGGUGAAGAAGGCCUUCGGGUUGUAAAGCACUUUCAGCGGGGAGGCGUUACCCGCAGAAGAAGCACCGGCUAACUCCGUGCCAGCAGCCGCGGUUAUAC